UGCAAAGGGGUAGAAGUGAUGGUUCGGAGUGAUUUCACUCUAGGGUCGUUUGCACCAUGACCUCGAGCCAAACACCCCCCCCCCCCCAGAAGCUUUUUUCCCUUUGGUCUAACACUGGUCGAGUUAGCACUCAUCAUCCGAAUGCCUUAGUGCAGGUGUUAAU